GCUGGGGCCAGCUGGGACCAGUCAUGGGCAAAAGAAAUAUGUUUUGUCCACUGUUGCAGUCUUCCUAAAGCAAAGUGGAGGUUUCUGUCUGGUUUAAGAGAGACAGCUAAACCAGAUCGUUCCCCUCCACACACG
rfam:Colius striatus contig33826, whole genome shotgun sequence.